CAAUAGCGUAUAUUAAAGUUGUUGCAGUUAAAAAGCUCGUAGUUGGACUUCUGCGGGUGGCGGCCGGUCGUGCCCUUAUGUGGCGUGAACUUGGCUCUUUGCCGCCCGCAUCUUUGGGGAGAUUGUGCGUGGCAUUAGGUUGUCGUGCAUGGGAUUCUCAUCAUUUACUGUGAAAAAAUUAGAGUGUUUAAAGCAGGCCUUUGCCUUGAAUACAUUAGCAUGGAAUAAUAAGAUAGGACCGUUGUCUAUUUUGUUGGUUUACAGAUGUCGGUAAUGAUUAAUAGGGAUAGUUGGGGGUAUUCGUAUUCAGUUGUCAGAGGUGAAAUUCUUGGAUUUUCGGAAGACGCACGACUGCGAAAGCAUUUACCAAGGAUGUUUNCAUUA
rnacentral:rRNA from 1 species